GCACCCGUAGCUCAGCUGGAUAGAGAGAUGCCCUCCGAAGGCAGAGGCCACAGGUUCGAAUCCUGUCGGGUGCGCCA
rnacentral:tRNA from 1 species